rnacentral:rRNA from 1 species
UACGUAGGGCGCAAGCGUUGUCCGGAAUUAUUGGGCGUAAAGAGCUCGUAGGCGGUUUGUCGCGUCUGCUGUGAAAACCUAAGGCUCAACCUUGGGCUUGCAGUGGGUACGGGCAGACUAGAGUGCGGUAGGGGUGACUGGAAUUCCUGGUGUAGCGGUGGAAUGCGCAGAUAUCAGGAGGAACACCGAUGGCGAAGGCAGUUCUCUGGGCCGUAACUGACGCUGGAGGAGCGAAAGCGUGGGGAGCGAACAGG